UGGUUUUGUAAAAAAACUAUUUGAUGUCUAAACAGAUCCCUUUGGGACAAUCUUUAAACUUCUUAGUUCUUCUCUGUUGCUCCCUCUCCCUCCCUGAUAAAAACAGAGGAUCAUAGUAAGAAAAAAAAAUACUGUAUUCUGCCUUGAAUCAAAUGUCUGGAUUCUGGAGAGCAUUUGCAAGCAAAAAAAAAAAAAAAAAAGGUUUAGAAAUUAUGUGUUAGGACCUCACUUUUACCCUGUGCAUGUGUGCACAUGUGUGGACGUACAUAUACAUAAAAGAAAAUCUUACUGAAGUGUUCCUCAAAUUUUAGAUCUGCAGAAUCAUGUCAUUGCACCGAUGACAAUUCCCCCCCACUGCUUCUGGCCCACAGUAAUGGCAAAUCCCUAAAACUAAUUACACCUUCAGCUUGUAGGUGUAACCCUUUCUGUUUAUGGCUAAUGACAACAAGUACACCUCACACUACGUCCUCUUCCAGAGGGGCAAAACACAGGCCGUUUCGAUGGCCUUUGGCACCGCCGGGGACCCGGGGACAGCGGAAGCGCCCUCCGCUUUCCCCUUUAUCAAAAUAUAUUCAUUCCAGUUUUCAAACCGCUGUUUUGGCGUCCUAAAUCUCUCCCCGCACUAAUUUCUGCAGGUCAGACUUUGACCCUGAUUGCAACAAAAUCCGGAGGCAGAUAUUCACACCGGAGCGCCCCGCCUCCCCGCGUGUCAGAAGCCAUAUCGCUGCAAAUGCCUCACACACCUCGGAGCGCAGCUUGUGGAACUGAUGAGAAAGGCCAACAUUGUUACCACUUGCCUGGUCAAAGGUUACGCUUCCUGCCCUCCAUCAACCCUGCUGGGACAUCUGAGUGUUUUUAGAUACUAGUCAGGUCACCUUCCAAGGGGAAUCACUCACGCUAACCAUCUGAUUAAAGGGGCCUCUGUAAGGAAUCCGGCUACCAGGUAUGCAAUUAGCCAG
rnacentral:lncRNA from 1 species